rnacentral:rRNA from 1 species
UACAGAGGCCCCGAGCGUUGUUCGGAUUUAUUGGGCGUAAAGGGUGCGUAGGCGGCGGAGUAAGUUGGGUGUGAAAUCCCGGGGCUCAACCUCGGAAUGGCAUUCAAUACUGCUUCGCUAGAGUACUGGAGAGGAGGCUGGAAUUUACGGUGUAGCAGUGAAAUGCGUAGAUAUCGUAAGGAAGGCCGGUGGCGAAAGCGAGCCUCUGGACAGUUACUGACGCUGAUGCACGAAGGCCAGGGGAGCAAACGGG